rnacentral:lncRNA from 1 species
UAUGGUAUGGAACUCAAGCAGAUGAAUGCUUCCCAAGCGCCAUUCAUGCAGGAUCAACACCAAUUGAUUCCCAUUUCCACAACUAUAUCCGUGGUAAGGUCUACCCUGCACCAAGAAUGUGGUAUGUAAGGGUCAAUGUAAUUGAGGCACAGGAUAUAUUCACAAUGGAGCACCACCACAUACCUAAUGUGUUUGUAAAGGUGAGGAUUGGUCACCAAUUGCUGAAGACAAGGCAAGUUCGCUCACCAACCAAAAACUUCAUGUGGAAUGAGGAGAUGAUGUUUGUCGCAGCAGAGCCUUUUGAGGAUGACUUGAUCAUACAAAUAGAAGAUCGUGUUGCACAGGACAAAGAUGAGGUAAUUGGUGAAGCUAUCAUACCUAUCGCAAGGCUUCAAAAGAGGGCUGAUCACAAGGCGAUAGUACGCCCAGUGUGGUUUGAUCUGAGGAGACCAGGACUGAUUGACAUGAACCAGCUAA